GAAACCUAUUAUUUUGAGGUGAUUUACAGUUUUACCGGGAUUUUUCAGCGUAAAAUAAAGUCACACUUUAGAGCGCCGCUUACUGUGAUCCAUGGCUGCAACACACCAAGCGCCUGGAAGUACGUCGGCCACU